GUGUGUCUGUGCUUCUGCUUCUGAUCUUCAGUGUGAUUCUGUUGGUGAUCGUCUCUCUCUGGAGGAGGCGUCAGUCUCACAACGCUGAUUCUACAUCCAGAAGUACUCAUGCGACAAAUGGAAACAAUAAAGCUGUUUCUCACGCUGGCUGUGAUUACAAGGAGAUGAAAGACACUCACGAACAUUUACCCACAAACCCCUCUGUUUCUCCUGACUGUGUUCAGAA